rnacentral:rRNA from 1 species
ACGCUCGACACCUACGGAGGCAGCAGUCGGGAAUAUUGCGCAAUGGAGGAAACUCUGACGCAGUGACGCCGCGUGCAGGAAGAAGGUUUUCGGAUUGUAAACUGCUUUAGACAGGGAAGAAAAAGGACAGUACCUGUAGAAUAAGCUCCGGCUAACUACGUACCAGCAGCCGCGGUAAUCUGAGCGGGCUGGCAAGGC